rnacentral:rRNA from 1 species
GGGAGUAGGGGGGGGGGAGGGGCGGGAGUGCGUAGGGGGAGUGCGGUGUGCGGAGUGGCCGGGUGGAAAGGGGGUGGAGGCGGUGCGGCAGGUUGGCGGUGAAAGCUCCUGGCUUAACUCGGGGAGGUCCGUGCAAACGGGUUGGCGUGAGCGGCGGAGAGGGGCAUGGAACUCCCGGUGGAGCGGUGAAAUGCGUAGAGAUCGGGAAGAACACCAAUGGCGAAGGCAGUGCCCUGGCCGACGGCUGACGCUCAGGCGCGAAAGCGUGGGGAGCAAACAGGAUUAGAUACCCCGGUAGUC